AAGACUGGUUACUCGCAUCAACGCCUCUGUCUCGUCAUUUAACAUUCAAACACCUUCUGUUCGGUUUUCAUCCGUUUCUUUCUUGUUAAGCAUUUCCCCAUUCUUGAGUCAGACCUUAUGGGAAUGUGUGGGACAGAAGAGGAAUUUAUGACAAUUUAGCAUAGACAAUAGCUACAGUACUCUACUCUCACCAUGUCUACCAUUUAGGUUUAGCUAGUUAUGUUAUCCACUGCUAGCUAAUAACUUGCUAACACUAAUAGCUAGCUACCACAGAUGACAUUUUUAUAAUAAACUAGUAAGUUCGUCUUAAAAUUGGAACCACUAAUUUUAGUGUGCUGACAAAGGAUGAUAGUUAGCUAAUUUACCAGCUACCUAACUAGAGACUGAACAUGAGUUCAAAGGUUAGAUAGCUAGCUAGCUACCACGCUAAUCCCAAAAAACAUUCUAAACAAAUUGCAUGGAAUAUCAUGUCGAUGUUCGCUAACUAGCUAGCAAAUGUGAUCUAUUUAGCUAUAUCAUGCCAAGGAUUAUCUCGUGUUAAAACGUCUAGCAGAACGUCUAUAUUGAAAAAUACGUUUUAAAAUUGACCUAAUGCUAGCUAGCUAACGUUUCCUAGCCAGCUACUAUAGGUAGGACAGAGGUGCUAGUUGAGCAGCGGUGCUAAAUCCAGCAGAACUUCUGUAUUCAAAGGUGAAACAAAUUGCAUAGCGAAUUCACCCUCUCUACCCUGUAUCCUUUGAACAACGUUUUUGUCACGCAAUCUCUUGUCUGGACUUUGAACACUUCUCAUAGCCACGUUCAUCCUGAUUAUUUACGAUGCACUGUCACAUGAUGUAAGUGUCAAUUCAACAUUCUGGGCACGUUCCAGGUCGUCUUUAUUUCAAGCACGUUUCACAAUUUUUCAGAAACCUAUGAAUCACACCAAUAAUAUGUAUUGAAACCUUGAGCGUUAAUUUCUGUAAUAAGUAAGUGUACCAAUGCAUCAUCAGGGUUUCAAACAUGGGGCAAGACACAUCAUGGGAGUUGACCAUUGGUCUGAAAACCAACCAUUUCUGUUCCUGGGACAGAGCAACAAUGCAAACACACAAAAGUUAGAAAAUAACAAUUGAAAGUAAGGUUCCAUGAUGAUACAUAAGGGUUCAAUAUUAUGCGCACAUUAUGCAUUUAUAAAUGGUUAUUAGCUGGAGGUAAAUAGUGGCUCACUAUGUGGCAAGCACUGACUGGCUAUCACAGUAAUUUGAGAAAUUUGUUAUAACCCAUUUUUUAAUGGUUUAUAAUGCAUUGACAAUUGAUUAAAUAACCGUUGUAAUUGUAAUUACAAACCCUUCAUAAACCCUUUACAAAUGGAACGUUAUUGUAAAGUGUUACCUAAAUCGGUGGCCCCGGUCAAAUACAAGUAGAUGAACAGAGAAGGAAGGUUGUUAAACAUAAUCUCCCCCAGCUCAAGUUAGUACUUUCCACAGGGGUAUACUACAAAGCAGAAUCAAUGAGUUAGCCAGCUAAGUUUGAUGAGCAUCCAGAAAUAACUAUUGACUUUCUGGUUCAUUAAGAAUCUAAACAGAUAAGCUUGAAAUGACUCAAUCAAAAACACAUAUCUUUCAAAACAAAUAAAAGGUUAUUCCUGAACAUUUAUCCAAGUUAGCUGGCUAACUAAUUGAAGCUGCUUUGUAUUAUACCCCUCUGGUUUGUUAACCCUACCUGGAGUGACAGGUGAACACCGAGACAGAGGCAUGAUAUGAGUUUGACCAAUCAGAAGAACUAGGAUGAAGACGAGGCCACAUAGUACAUGACUGGAUAGAGCCUUCUGAAAUGCAACAAGCACAAUGGCUCAUGCCCCAAGUAAUGAGGAGGCCCUGACAAGUCUGGCUGAGCAACCAGUAGGCAUGUCCAGAGUAGACGACAGAGGAUGGAUCCCACUACAUGAGGCCGCAGUACAGGAGAAGAAAAGUAUUCUGGUGAUCGUUUUCUCAGCCUCCCCCAGGGUGCAGGGCAGUGCCGGACUCUGAAGGGAGAAAUGCCUCUCUUCCGGGAGAAUGCUACAUUCCUGCUACAGAACGGAUGCUGUCCUGACCUCCAGAACGAUGAUGAGGAAUCUCCGCUCGUGGCAGCUUUAGUAAAUUACCAAAAUGACAGUGCCUCGCUCCUGCUUUGCUGCAAUGCCAAGGUAGACCAAAAAGGAGAUCUGGAGUGGACUGGCCUCCAUGAGGCCUCCCUCCUGGAUCUGAACAAUUAUGUUUACCUGCUCCUGUAGUCUGGAGCCGACCCAAACGCAUGUGAUGUCGACUCUCUGACCCCUGGCACUGGCUGCAGAGACGGGGCACCUGAAGGGGCUGCUGAGAUGUAUAGCCGCGGGCUAUGCACCCAGUGCCUGGAGGUCCUUCUCAACACAGGCUACAACCCUAACAUCAUGCUCCACCCAGGGGGGGGUGCAGUAAAUAUGAUGUUGAAUGCAGGUCACUACUUCGCUGUGUCAAACAAUGAUGUCCAGUCCACCCGUCUGCUGAGGUCAUGGUCAACCAGGACCUUGUCAACUGUCUACAGGUGGCACUGUGGCUGGGAAACUAGGAUCUUAUAAACACUCUGCUGAGGUAGGAAUCAAACUCAAGUCAAAUCAAACUUUAUUCAAUAAAGUGCAUUUCAAAGUCUCAAUGCACUUUACAGUAACAUACAGCCUAUUCGGAAAGUAUUCAGACCCCUUAACUUUUUCCUUAUUUUGCUUUAUUCUAAAAUGGAUGAAAUAUUUUUUUCCCCUUAUCAAUUUAUACACAAUAGCCCAUAAUGACAAAGCAAACCUGUUUUUUUUUUAAUUAUUGCAAAUUUAAAUAUAAAAAAAGGUGAUAUCACAUAAGGAUUCAAACCCUUUACUCAUUACUGUGUUAAAGCACCUUUGGCAGCCAAUACAGCCUGACGUCU